GACGUAGGGAGCGAGCGUUGUCCGGAAUUACUGGGCGUAAAGAGCUCGUAGGCGGGACCGUAAGUCCGAGAGGAAAUCUCAAGGCUCAACUUUGGGGCUUUCUUGGAUACUGCGGUUCUUGAGGAUGAGAGAGGUAAGCAGAAUUCCCGGUGUAGCGGUGAAAUGCGUAGAUAUCGGGAGGAAUACCAGUGGCGAAGGCGGCUUACUGGCUCAUUCCUGACGCUGAGGCGCGAAGGCCAGGGGAGCAAACGGG
rnacentral:rRNA from 1 species